UACGUAGGGUGCAAGCGUUGCCCGGAUUUAUUGGGCGUAAAGGCGCGUAGGCGGCCCGUCAAGUCAUGCGUGAAAUCUCCCGGCUUAACUGGGAGGGUCGUGUGAUACUGGCGGGCUGGAGCAAGGUAGGGGCAGUGGAAUCCCGGUGUAGUGGUGGAAUGCGUAGAUAUCGAGGAGGAACACCCGUGGCGAAGGCGGCACUCUGGGACGGUACUGACGCUGAGACGCGAAAGCGUGGGAGCAACAGG
rnacentral:rRNA from 1 species